rnacentral:lncRNA from 1 species
CUGCUGUGCCACACUCUGGCUGGCCCAAGGGGCCACAUAUGUUGACUGAGCAUGCUCCAUCUGGGCUGUGCAGAUGGAACCAAUAGAGCAGUAGUUAUUGUCACAUGACCGUGGCUGAACUGUGCGGGUGGGGAAAGGAAGGGGAAGAAGUGUGCUCUGCCUCUGUUCUCUCCCCUCCCCCCUUACUCUCGCUCAACAAUUGAGGCCAUCGGAGAAAGCAGCUUGCCAGGUGCGACCCUAAAAGAGCUGUGAGGUAGAUGCUGAGAGAUCUACGUUGACAAAGGAACGCCGCGCCGCCCCAGAUCCAGAGGGACUGGUGAAACUGUUGACAUUGGUGUGGAGAGGCCAGAUGAUUCCUCCAGGACAGCCAUGGAGAGUAGGGGGGUCAGUCAGGAAUCAGAGGCAGGGAAAAGACACCCUAACCCCCUCUCUGUGACACCCACAGGGGCCAAGGGGAAGAAGGCUCUGAGUGCUAAAUCGCAGGUCAACAAAAAAGCUAAAGUCAAGAUGACAUCCGUUCAUGGCUCUGUCACUGGCUCCAAUGAUUUUAUUGGGUAUAAAAAAACAAGCAAGAGGACAGGUGGUUCAAAGGACAGGUGGUUCAGCACAUAAACUGACCAAAACCCCUCAAACCCCUGCAGACAAUGGUAGAGAAGCUGUUGCAGCAGGGAUCUCAGAUUUACAAACUCAUAGCUCUCCAUCUGUGGACUCUCCAGCCAGGACACGGUGUGCAUGGAAGGCUAUGGGCAAACCUGCCUCCAAUCCAGCAGUACUGAAGGUAAUGUUCAUCUUAACCCAGAACAUUAAAUGUUGUCCUUUUAAAUUAUGACUGGUGUCCGAUCUCAUUAGAGUCUGUUCUGAAGCGUUUUAACGGGGACAGAGCAGUCGAGCAUGGCAGGCAUGUGGAUGGAAAACUCAAUGGCCCCCUCCCACAUGAAGCUACCUCCGAGCCUUAAAAUAAAUAGUAUUGUCUCUACCAAGUCACAUCCAGGGUCUAGGAAAAGGAAGAGGAAGAUGGAAAUUUACAACUUUGUCCCCAAGAAGAAAACCAAAGUGUUGAAGAAAGACAGCCUAGCUGCGAAGGCGGAAAAGCAAGAAAGUGUCAGAAAGAAGGGAGUAGAUCUGACGCACAGAGAGAUUUGUGAAAUGCAAGAAAGCCAUGCACUGUUAGCCGAGCAGUGUGUAGACAAGGAAAAAGAUUUAACCAAAGGAAACAAAAUGGAGAAAGAGGACAACAGCAGUAAGCAGGAAACCAUUGAAUUGACUUUGGAAUCGCUAAAUCUGAAAGCCCAAGAUGAGCUGUUGUCUCCUCCUCUCUCAGGUAACAGUUUCCCUAGAGAUGAGUUAAACAUUUCGUCAUAAGUUAUGAAAUAAUACUUGUACAAUACA